rnacentral:rRNA from 1 species
UAACGCGUGAGUAACCUGCCUCAUACAACGGGAUACCUGAGGGAAACUUCAGUUAAUACGGUAUAAGACCACACUGCCGCAUGGCAGAGGGGUAAAAGGAGCAAUCCGGUAUGAGAUGGACUCGCGUCGCAUUAGCUAGUUGGUGAGGUAACGGCCCACCAAGGCGACGAUGCGUAGCCGACCUGAGAGGGUGAUCGGCCACAUUGGGACUGAGAUACGGCCCAGACUCCUACGGGAGGCAGCAG